GUAACCUGCAUGACAGAUCAAGGGUAGUAUCUGUUUUUAUCAGUUUAAUAUCUGAUACGUGGGCCAAUGGCUCACUUGAUAUUAAAUCUUAUUUUUUAUGGAGAAAGGUACAUUACAAUAGCUUGCUAUUGUGGCCUUUAAGCGUCGCCUUGCUCUUGCACUACUGUCUUGGCUUGGCGCACCCCUC
rfam:Helianthus annuus linkage group 3, whole genome shotgun sequence.